UUUAUUGAGAGUUUGAUCCUGGCUCAGGACGAACGCUGGCGGCGUGCCUAACACAUGCAAGUCGAGCGAGGGGAGUUUCUUCGGAAACAAACCUAGCGGCGGACGGGUGAGUAACACGUGGGCAACCUGCCUUGUAGAGGGGAAUAGCCUUCCGAAAGGAAGAUUAAUACCGCAUAACAUUGCACUUUCGCAUGAAAGAGUAAUUAAAGGAGCAAUCCGCUACAAGAUGGGCCCGCGGCGCAUUAGCUAGUUGGUGAGGUAACGGCUCACCAAGGCGACGAUGCGUAGCCGACCUGAGAGGGUGAUCGGCCACAUUGGGACUGAGACACGGCCCAGACUCCUACGGGAGGCAGCAGUGGGGAAUAUU
rnacentral:rRNA from 1 species